CGACGUGAGCAAUCUGCCUUUAAGAGGGGGAUAACAGUCGGAAACGGCUGCUAAUACCGCAUAAAGCAUCGAAACCGCAUGAUUUUGAUGCCAAAGGAGCAAUCCGCUUUUAGAUGAGCUCGCGUCUGAUUAGCUGGUUGGCGGGGUAACGGCCCACCAAGGCGACGAUCAGUAGCCGGACUGAGAGGUUGAACGGCCACAUUGGGACUGAGACACGGCUCAG
rnacentral:rRNA from 1 species